rnacentral:rRNA from 1 species
GCCGCGUUAGUGUUAAGGUAGCAUAGUAAUUAGUUUCUUAAUUGGGAAAUGGAAUGAAUGGUUUCACUAAAAUAUGAUAUUUAUUCUAAUUUGCGAAAUUUUAAUCUGAGUGAAAAUACUCAGAAGAUAUAUUUAGACGAGAAGACCCUAUGAAGCUGGUAGACUUCCAAUGUAAUUAUACGAUAGUUCAUGAGUUUAUUUUUUGGGGGAAAAUUUAAUAAUAGUAUUAAUAUUGGCUUACUAAAUAAUAUCCUCUUGGAAUUAGGAAAAA